AUUGAACGCUGGCGGCAGGCCUAACACAUGCAAGUCGAGCGGAUGAAGGGUGCUUGCUCCUGGAUUCAGCGGCGGACGGGUGAGUAAUGCCUAGGAAUCUGCCUGGUAGUGGGGGAUAACGUCCGGAAACGGGCGCUAAUACCGCACACGUCCUGAGGGAGAAAGUGGGGGAUCUUCGGACCUCACGCUAUCAGAUGAGCCUAGGUCGGAUUAGCUAGUUGGUGGGGUAAAGGCCUACCAAGGCGACGAUCCGUAACUGGUCUGAGAGGAUGAUCAGUCACACUGGAACUGAGACACGGUCCAGACUCCUACGGGAGGCAGCAGUGGGGAAUAUUGGACAAUGGGCGAAAGCCUGAUCCAGCCAUGCCGCGUGUGUGAAGAAGGUCUUCGGAUUGUAAAGCACUUUAAGUUGGGAGGAAGGGCAGUAAGUUAAUACCUUGCUGUUUUGACGUUACCAACAGAAUAAGCACCGGCUAACUUCGUG
rnacentral:rRNA from 1 species